UGGGAAAGCACAUAUCAGUGAGGCGCUCCCUGCCCGCCGCCUGCAUUCGGCCGGCGCCCCGUCCCGCUCGGAUCAGCCCCGCCGCCGGCACUCCGCUCCCCGCGGACCCUGCGCCCGGACCCGCGGCUGUCCCGCCACCUCCCGAGCGUCUCUUUCGGAAGCAGUCCGCGCGGGGACGCGCCCUAGCCCACCGCCACCAUGGAUGCCAUCAAGAAGAAGAUGCAGAUGCUGAAGCUGGACAAGGAGAACGCCUUGGACAGAGCUGAGCAAGCCGAAGCGGACAAGAAGGCAGCGGAGGAGAGAAGCAAGCAGUUAGAGGAUGACAUUGUGCAAUUGGAAAAACAAUUGCGUGGGACGGAGGAUACAAGGGACCAAGUGCUGGAAGAGCUACACAAGUCUGAGGACAGCCUCCUCUCCGCAGAGGAGAAUGCUGCCAAGGCUGAGAGUGAAGUAGCUUCUCUGAACAGACGCAUCCAGCUGGUUGAGGAAGAGUUGGAUCGUGCUCAGGAGCGCUUGGCUACUGCCCUGCAGAAGCUGGAGGAGGCUGAGAAGGCUGCAGAUGAGAGUGAAAGAGGAAUGAAGGUCAUUGAAAACAGAGCCCAGAAGGAUGAGGAGAAGAUGGAAAUCCAGGAGAUCCAGCUGAAAGAGGCAAAGCACAUUGCUGAAGAGGCUGACCGCAAGUAUGAAGAGGUGGCUCGUAAGCUGGUGAUCAUUGAGAGUGACCUGGAACGUGCUGAGGAGCGUGCUGAACUCUCAGAAAGCAAAUGUGCUGAGCUUGAAGAGGAAUUGAAAACUGUGACCAACAACCUGAAGUCGCUGGAGGCUCAGGCUGAGAAGUACUCACAGAAAGAAGAUAAGUAUGAAGAGGAGAUUAAAGUUCUGACUGACAAACUGAAGGAGGCUGAGACCCGUGCUGAGUUUGCUGAGAGGUCAGUAACCAAGCUGGAGAAGAGUAUUGAUGACCUAGAAGAUGAGCUCUAUGCUCAGAAACUGAAGUACAAAGCCAUCAGUGAGGAGCUGGACCACGCUCUCAAUGAUAUGACUUCCAUGUAAAUGUCAUGCCAGCUUGCCCUGCUGCUGCUUCCCCGCCCUCACUGAUUGCGCAGUACCGGCCGUGUGCAAUGGUGCUCCCCGUGCAGUGGGAGAUGCUUUCCUUUAGAGACAAUAGGGCUACAAAAUACCAUGAACCAUUGCUUUACCCUGGCAAAGUGUGGAUAAUUUUCUUUGCUUCAGUUCUCCAAAGACAUCUUCAUCGGGCUGGAUAAACCAUCUUUCCAAGCUUUGGAUGUUUCAUGGGUUCAUUGUCCUGUCUUCUAGCUUAGUUGACUCUUCCUCUAUAACCUGUCUCAGAACAUGCUCUGUUUGUGCUCUGCUGUACAGAAACUACAUUUCUCAAUGUAAAAUAAAUAUCCCAGCUGUA